rnacentral:rRNA from 1 species
GACGAACCGUGCGAACGUUAUUCGGAAUCACUGGGCUUAAAGGGUGCGUAGGCGGGUUGUCCAGUCUGGGGUGAAAUCCCACGGCUCAACCGUGGAACUGCCUCAGAUACUGACGACGUCGAGGGAGGUAGGGGCGAGCGGAACUGUGGGUGGAGCGGUGAAAUGCGUUGAUAUCCACAGGAACUCCGGUGGCGAAGGCGGCUCGCUGGACCUCUUCUGACGCUGAGGCACGAAAGCUAGGGGAGCAAACGGG